AUGAUGACCUUGCAUACCGCAGAGGCCGAGGGACAGCGGUUGCUCACGGAGACCGGCACCGGAGACGACGCCCGUUUGCCGUUGUCUAACGUUUAUGUCCUGUCCCUGCAUUUGUCGGGUUCACCUGGUUGGACUGCUAAACCUGACGCAGAGCUCGAAGUUGCCGAAAAGAUAGAGACACUUCUUGUAACCGGCUUCUCUGUUUUGGAGCUGCAUUUCUCGACAACUGAGUUUCAUUUCGGUAUACCAGCCAAGCAUGCUUUUGGAGGAUGUGUGGUGCGUCUACUUGGGAUGCAUCGGAUUCGUACCGCUACACGAAAGCUUAGGAUCGUCUUACUUAGAUCAGAUGUGGUAAAAGAAUGCCCAGUAAAUUGUCGUUGUGAUAAGCCCAAGAACUGGAGAAGAAAAAAUAUCUCGUUGAUCAAUCUUGAAGAAGUGGAAAUCGAAGGCUUCGAAGGGGAGGAUCAUGAUUUUGAUUUCCUGAAAGUGAUAUUCAGAUGCGCACCAAUGCUUAAAAGAAUGUCCGUGCGGAUGUGUGAUGAGGACAGCACAAGUAAUGAUCGGUGUUUGAAAACACACAACUUCUUCAAGGCGUAUCCUUUUGUGGAAUGCAAUGUUUAUCUUAGUUCCGGGUCAAAGCACCACAGCCAAAGUUGUGCAUUGGAAUGA
rnacentral:rRNA from 1 species